rnacentral:lncRNA from 1 species
GGUGUUUUGAAUCCUAGAGACAUUUCUCUAACAAGAGUUGCCCCUCACCCAGCAGGCCUCCCCCCGGAGAAUCAAAAUUGUGUGAUGAGAAGGCAGGGCCUUGGGCCGCUGUGUCGGACUGUCCGGGUUCAAACCUUAGCUUAUACAAGUUACCUAAUAGUCUCCGUGUCUCAGUUUCCGCAUCUGUAAGGUGGGCAUGGCAAGAGUAUCCCAUAGGACUGUUUGCGACUAAUGAGGUAAUAACACUUAAUAAAACUCCGGGCUCAGUAAAUACUCUCAUCACAGGACCUUACUCAAGAGGCCUCUCAUCUAGUUCUCCCCGCGAUGAAAUGACGUUCUCUCCCCUUCUGGUGCCGUUGUUACCAGGCCAGCAUUUACACAGCCUUUCUUCUGGCCUCUGAACUCCGGGUUCGGCAAGAGGAGAAUGCUCAGCCCCUUCCCCAGGACUAUGGAGACCACAACAGUGUCCACUACCAACAAUGGGUUCAACUUUCUCCAAGCAACUAGAAUAAGCCAGACCGGGCUGGUGGCUGGGAGAUCAGGAGUGGUCCAGAUAGCUGCUGUCAAGGCUCCUCCUGUUUAUGGGCGAAGACACACCAGCCAACCUGCAAUGAGGCCAGGGUCUCCGGAAGCUGCUCGGGCAGGGAAAGGAUCCCACCCAGCCAGAGAGGGUCUCCCUGAGGACACUUUAUUCUGGGAAGAAAGUCACCUGCUUCCAGGAGGAAAGAGAGAUGGGACUAAGCUUUAGUCAUCACCUCUCUUGGCCAAACACUGUGCUGGAUAAUUUAUAUGCGCUCUUUCAUUCCAUCCUUAUAAAAACCUUCGGAUCAGGAUUAAGCCCAUUUUACAGAUGAACAAAGGAAGGUUCAGGGUGCUGAAAGCCAUGCUAUGGGGUAGAGUGGAGACCAACAAGUCUGCGUGACCCUGGAGCCAAUGCUCUCAGCACCCAGCAGAAGGGAAAUGCAGGAACAGCCGACACUUGGAAACUGGCUCAGGAUCUGGGUCCUGAUGACCUCUUCUGUGUCCUCCUGGUCUCUCCUUCUCUGGCCAACAACAGAACUACCCCUUUAAGAGACACAACCCCUCUGAAAGGGGCUGGUUUCCAUCCAUUUUUA